UACAUGGGGUGCAAACGUUGCUCAGAAUUAUUGGGCGUAAAGCGCGCGUAGGCGGUUACUCAAGUCGGAUGUGAAAGCCCUCGGCUUAACCAAGGAAGUGCAUCCGAAACUGCUGUGCUUGAGUACUUAAGAGGAUCGCGGAAUUCCCGGUGUAGAGGUGAAAUUCGUAGAUAUCGGGAGGAACACCAGUGGCGAAGGCGGCGAUCUGGGAAGAUACUGACGCUGAGGUGCGAAAGCGUGGGGAGCAAACAGG
rnacentral:rRNA from 1 species